CUACGGGCGGCACCAGUGAGGAAUAUUGCACAAUGGGGGGAACCCUGAUGCAGCAACGCCGCGUGGAGGAUGACGCAUUUCGGUGUGUAAACUCCUUUUAUAUGUCAAGAAAAUGACGGUAGCAUAUGAAUAAGCACCGGCUAACUCCGUGCCAGCAGCCGCGGUAAUACGGAGGGUGCAAGCGUUACUCGGAAUCACUGGGCGUAAAGGACGCGUAGGCGGGUUGGAAAGUCAGGUGUGAAAUCCUAGAGCUUAACUGUAGAACUGCACUUGAAACUUCUAAUCUAGAGUAUGGGAGGGGGAGAUGGAAUUAGUGGUGUAGGGGUAAAAUCCGUAGAUAUCACUAGGAAUGCCUAAAGCGAAGGCGAUCUCCUGGAACAUUACUGACGCUAAGGCGUGAAAGCGUGGGGAGCAAACAGGAUUAGAUACCCGAGUAGUC
rnacentral:rRNA from 1 species